rnacentral:rRNA from 1 species
CCUACGGGGGGCAGCAGUGGGGAAUAUUGCACAAUGGGGGGAACCCUGAUGCAGCGACGCCGCGUGAGUGAAGAAGUAUUUCGGUAUGUAAAGCUCUAUCAGCAGGGAAGAAAAUGACGGUACCUGACUAAGAAGCCCCGGCUAACUACGUGCCAGCAGCCGCGGUAAUACGUAGGGGGCAAGCGUUAUCCGGAUUUACUGGGUGUAAAGGGAGCGUAGACGGCAGAGCAAGUCUGAAGUGAAAGCCCGCGGCCCAACUGCGGGACUGCUUUGGAAACUGCCCGGCUAGAGUGCUGGAGAGGCAGGCGGAAUUCCUGGUGUAGCGGUGAAAUGCGUAGAUAUCAGGAGGAACACCGGCGGCGAAGGCGGCCUGCUGGACCGCGACUGACGUUGAGGCUCGAAAGCGUGGGGAGCGAACAGGAUUAGAUACCCUAGUAGUC